rnacentral:lncRNA from 1 species
AUAUUCUGGUUGGUGAUGGGAGCACCACUGCCAAGAUCCUGUGCGUGGAAUAAGUUAGAAUAUAUUUAAAAUUAAUUAACAAUUUUUAAAAAUAAAUGAAAACAAUAUUAUAAUAAAAACACACAAUAAUUGAAAUCAGUGUCUGAAAAACACAACAAAAUCAAAUAUAAACAACUCCAAUACAAUAAUGUAUACUAACAAUUGAUGAAAAGCACUUCAAAGACACUAUCUGGAUGGGGUAAUGUGGCAAGAUUAGACCCCUGCAUGAUAAUCAAAUAGACUAAAAUUAUAAGAAUCAAUGAAAAAUAUAGGUAACAAUUUUCCUGGAGAUUGUACUAACCGAUCCAUCGAGCUUGCUAGAAAGUACUGUUCAUCAAACUGAAGUGACACCAAACUAGUGUCAAACCCACAAUAAAUUACAUAAAAUAAUAAAAAAUCAACCAUAUUCAAUUGAAGAUACAUGUCAAGUAGAUAAUUUAACAGGGAAAAAGGAUAACUAACGAAGAUAUAGACGAAGGCAUCCUAAUUGUAUGAGAAGCAUAUAUGUCACCUUUGAGGUGCAAUUAGGGUGAAACAUAAGCACGUCAACUAUAGACAAAGC